rnacentral:rRNA from 1 species
UACGUAGGUGGCGAGCGUUGUCCGGAUUUACUGGGCGUAAAGGGAGCGUAGGCGGACUUUUAAGUGAGAUGUGAAAUACCCGGGCUCAACUUGGGUGCUGCAUUUCAAACUGGAAGUCUAGAGUGCAGGAGAGGAGAAUGGAAUUCCUAGUGUAGCGGUGAAAUGCGUAGAGAUUAGGAAGAACACCAGUGGCGAAGGCGAUUCUCUGGACUGUAACUGACGCUGGGGCUCGAAAGCGUGGGGAGCAAACAGGAUUAGAUACCCUGGUA